rnacentral:rRNA from 1 species
UGGGGAAUAUUGGACAAUGGGCGAAAGCCUGAUCCAGCCAUGCCGCGUGUGUGAAGAAGGUCUUCGGAUUGUAAAGCUCUUUAAGUUGGGAGGAAGGGCAGUAAGCGAAUACCUUGCUGUUUUGACGUUACCGACAGAAUAAGCACUGGCUAACUCUGUGCCAGCAGCCGCGGUAAUACAGAGGGUGCAAGCGUUCAUCGGAAUUACUGGGCGUAAAGCGAGCGUAGGUGGUUCGUUAAGUUGAAUGUGAAAGCCCCGGGCUCAACCUGGGAACAGCAUCCAAAACUGGAGAGCUAAAGUAGGGCAGAGGGUGGUGGAAUUUCCUGUGUAGCGGUGAAAUGCGUAGAUAUAGGAAGGAACACCAGUGGCGAAGGCGACCACCUGGGCUCAUACUGACACUGAGGUGCGAAAGCGUGGGGAGCAAACAGG